UACGUAGGGGGCUAGCGUUGUCCGGAAUCAUUGGGCGUAAAGCGCGUGUAGGCGGUCCGGUAAGUCCGCUGUGAAAGUCGGGGGCUCAACCCUCGAAUGCCGGUGGAUACUGUCGGGCUAGAGUGCGGAAGAGGCGAGUGGAAUUCCUGGUGUAGCGGUGAAAUGCGCAGAGUAUCAGGAGGAACACCAAUUGCGAAGGCAGCUCGCUGGGACGUAACUGACGCUGAGACGCGAAGCGUGGGAGCAACAGGAUAGAU
rnacentral:rRNA from 1 species